CUCAACAUUGUUAAAGAGCAAGGAUCGUUCUUUCAUUGCUUUUUCACACAACCAUAUCUGAAGUCCAUAUACUGAUCAGGGUCAUCUUCUCCUCUCUGUUAAGUCUUGUUGCUUCCAGUUGCUCAGAGUUUUAAACUGGAUUUUCAUUUCUUUAUAGAAGAUUUAUUCUGAGGUUUGUACUCUGUGGUUAAUUCAGCAGAGCUUGGCAGCAGUGGAGAAUUUAAGAAUCAGUGUAACCAUGCCUGGCUUCAAAGCAAGACUCAGCAAGGAUCUGGAAGGAGUAAACCACCUGAGACAUGUGGUUAGUGCACCACACAGAGCAGUGAGCUGGAGCUAUGUGAGAGCAUCCCUGAGAUGGCUCCCAUUGCCCAUGCCUGCCUGCAAGAAGGGCAAGGGAAGCAGUGGAGUUUGCUUGGGAUUGUUUUGGUCUCAUACCUUCCCAGAUGAUAAAUGAGGUACAUGUGUAGUGCAUGCCUUUCUCUGAGGUUGUUUUUUCUGCUAGUUGAUUUGUUUUAAUUUUUAUUGGGUGCUAUUUACAUUAGUGCAAUUAUGCAGUUUGUUCUGGUGUCCCAGAAAUAUGAAUGUAUUUACUGCCAAGAAAUGCUGGCAUUAUUUGUGAGAAGUCAUCCAGAGCCAAUAUUUAACCUAGUGCCUGAGCAGAUCAUGACCUGACAUUAUAUGCACUCAGUUUGGAAACACUGCAGAAGAGUAUCAAAGACAAGAAAGUUUGAGCUGUGCUUUCAUUUUAAAUCUGGGAUCUUGUGGCAGGUGCUAGAAAAGCAUUCAGAAUUGCACAAUGUCAACGAAAAGAUUUUUCCUAGUCUCAGGGGAGUUUUGAUUGUGUCUCUCACUGAAGGCAUGGUUGGCCCUUUCACCAGAAGCACGGGACUGGCAGCCCCUUCAUUACGAACUGUUACCCAUGGGAGAGAUUUCUAAUCCAAAAGAUUAGAAGUGACUCCAAAGGUAGUUUUGUACAGCAGUAAUUUUUCAGGCUAUGGGAGCAAACCUCAAAAGCUCCUGAAUGAAGCCUGCCAGAGAUAAAAAACGAGGGCUGGCCAAAGCCUGAGGACCUGAGGCAAGCAAAACUUCAGAAGUUUGUUGUGGUUUUUUUUCCCAAUGUUUCUUUUGAAAAAGUGUGAAUAUUCUUAGCAUCUUUUUGACCUGUUCUAACACAGGAAUCUGUUCCUACUGUUCCUAAUUUCUGUAUUUGGAGUGUCUUUCUUUCACUAUUUAAAGUUUAUUCCAGGUUUACAGCUAAUUGUGGGUAAAAAAGCCUUUGGUAGGUGGAACAGUAUGAGACAUGCCCUCGCUUCCUGGCUCUUUUGAGGACAGUAGUAACCCAUGGCCAGGCAGGCUGUCUUACUUCUCGGUGAAUGGUUCUACAUGGUGGGGUGAUGCACAGCAGCAGAUACUCUCCAGUGUCAUUGGCAAGAAGUGGGACUGGUGAUAUUGGGUCACUUCCUACAGGAAGGGCAUACAAUGAAGAACAUGGUGUUUAUCUGACAUGAAUGGUUGGGAGAUUAUAUCAUUGAAAAUGCACUGCACCCCCACACUAACACCUGCUACAUCCUAAGUGGUCGCCAUUUAGCAUCUGCAUUUCUGAUGUGAAUGCAUUGUUCUGUCUGAGUUAACUUGAACUGUUUCAGGGAAGCAUUCUGAGUGUUGCUGAGCAGAGAUAGCACCACACACGGAUAUAAAAGCAUUGUUAAGACAAGCUUUAUAUGGGAUGUUCUGCCAAAUGGUUCCCUUCCCUUCCUCUUCUCAUUUCCUUGUUCUUCUUCAGCCACUGGAGAAUGCUAAUCCCUUUAUUCACUUAUACGUAAACUGGUGACUUUCCAGACCUGCCACAAAAGACAUUUGACUAGAUGACUUUUCUGGAAAGAUGCAGCAGGAGGAGAUGGAAAUGUCUUUCCUGAGGAUUACUGCUAUGUUUGUAUUGACAGUCAGAAUAUGGAGAACCUUGCACUGACAGCUGUAAAUAAAAAGGAUAAUACAACA